rnacentral:rRNA from 1 species
GCCUACGGGGCGCAGCAGUGGGGAAUAUUGCCCAAUGGGGGAAACCCUGAUGCAGCGACGCCGCGUGAGUGAAGAAGUAUUUCGGUAUGUAAAGCUCUAUCAGCAGGGAAGAAAAUGACGGUACCUGACUAAGAAGCCCCGGCUAACUACGUGCCAGCAGCCGCGGUAAUACGUAGGGGGCAAGCGUUAUCCGGAUUUACUGGGUGUAAAGGGAGCGUAGACGGCAUUGCAAGUCUGGAGUGAAAGCCCGGGGCCCAACCCCGGAACUGCUCUGGAAACUGUGCGGCUAGAGUACUGGAGGGGCG